rnacentral:rRNA from 1 species
GACGAACGCUGGCGGCGCGCCUAACACAUGCAAGUCGAACGAGCGAGAGAGAGCUUGCUUUCUCGAGCGAGUGGCGAACGGGUGAGUAACGCGUGAGGAACCUGCCUCAAAGAGGGGGACAACAGUUGGAAACGACUGCUAAUACCGCAUAAGCCCACGGUGCCGCAUGGCACAGAGGGAAAAGGAGCAAUCCGCUUUGAGAUGGCCUCGCGUCCGAUUAGCUAGUUGGUGAGGUAAUGGCCCACCAAGGCGACGAUCGGUAGCCGGACUGAGAGGUUGAACGGCCACAUUGGGACUGAGACACGGCCCAGACUCCUACGGGAGGCAGCAGUGGGGAAUAUUGCACAACGGGGGAAACCCUGAUGCAGCGACGCCGCGUGGAGGAAGAAGGUCUUCGGAUUGUAAACUCCUGUUGUUGGGGAAGAUAAUGACGGUACCCAACAAGGAAGUGACGGCUAACUACGUG